GUCCCCAUCGUCUAGAUGGCCUAGGACAUCAGAUUCUCAUUCUGAAAACACGGGUUCAAAUCCCGUUGGGGGCACCA
rnacentral:tRNA from 1 species